GCACGCGUGACCAGUGCAUUGGCAGUCACCUGGGGACAAGGAGCCUGGCACUGUCACCGGGUGGAAAUCAAGUGCCAGGCUGAAUAAAACAAGGUGGCAGCCGGAUCCAGCCUGUGGGCCGGAUGUUUGACACCUGUGCUCUGCACAGGUUCUGCAUGAUACCAAUCUCUGCGUCAGAAAUCAACUCCCAUCAACUCCACACCAGGAGAAAGCAAGCAUGGUCAACUCCGCAAGAACAAAUGACUUCUGUUGCUUCUCAAAUAAGACAACUCUUCCCCUGUGCUGUGUAAUAUCACCCUCAUAGCUAAAUAAAUCACAGAGAGA